UGUCAGGUGGUGCAUUGGAGACUGAUGUGUUCCUGUCCUGUCUUUUCAUAAUACUAUUGCAGAUCGACAUAAAAGCCUAAAAGACAGCCGUGGUGUCGCUCUUCAUUUCUUGGUUCUCCUGUGGUGCAUAAGAAACCCGCUACAGAUUGGUGCCGUGACGAUAUGGCCUAAAAACUUGACAGAUUUUCUGAGGAGGUAACAUUUUUUUUGCGCUAGCUUCAGGUUGUGUUCCUUAAGGCGGGAGAACACCAUUUCGAGACGGUCCAGGGCUUCCUGCUCAGUCUUCCCGAAAACCAGGAGAUCAUCCAAGUAGCACAGGAGGGACAAGUAGUUCUGGUCGCCGAAGAUCGAGGUCAUCAUUCUGGCGAAUGUUGCUGGGCUGUUACAUAACCCCUGAGCCAUUCUGUUGUACUCAAAUAAACCCGUGGGUGUUGUGCACGCUGUGUACUUGCGGUCAUCUUCAUGUAUGGGGAUGUUGUAGAAUCCCGAAGUCAAAUCCAUAGUACUGAAGAAGCAGUUCCCCCCCAAAGCAGCGAGAGCAUCGGCUUGAUGGGGCAAUGGGUAUGCAUCUUUCUCUGUCCUCUGGUUCAACCAUCUGAAAUCAGUGCAAAUUCUCAACUCUCCUGACGGCUUCCAAACCAGGACAAGGGGGAGGCCCACUCACUACUGGACUUUCGGAUGAUGCCCCGCUCCUCCAUUUCCUCCAGCGUCUGUCUCAGUUUCUGGUAGUCGGAUGGAGAGACCCUCCUGUACGGCAGCCGGAAAGGCUUUUCAUCUUUGAGUCGGAUACGGUGGAUGACGUUCUUCGCUUCUCCACAGUCAAGUCGGUCCCUGGAGAAGAUGCCUUCAUACUGAGCAAUAAGGUCCACUAGUUUUCCUUUCCACAUGUCAGACACUUCACAGGACUCUAUGUCAACUUCUUUUAAGCCCAACUCUUCCAACUUUUGUAGAUACUCUUUCUUUGCCCUUUUUCCACCAAAUGAACAUCCUUCCCCAGCUUGGGUGACAUUCUGAAGGGCAGACUGGACCUUACUGGGGUUCUCAGCAUGGCUGGCAUAGAGCUCUAGGUCUUCUAGGGCUAGGCAUGGGUGCACAUCGGCCAACUUGGUGUUACGGCGGAGAAUAAUAGGGUGGUCCAACAUGUUGAUCACUUUCAUGGGGACCCACUUGUCACCCCUCAAAGGACAUACAGUGCGUCCUACUAGGACAUUUCUUGGUGCAGAUCGUGCUGUAGUGGCCUCUAUGACUACAGUACUACCGACUGAUAGCGGUACCUUUUCUUUCAGUUUUCCCCAGACCAAAUGUUCAUGUUGAGG